UUGAAGUUCAACCAUUUUGGAUUGUUGACAGAAGCUGUGGAAACCAACCAUUGGCUUUAGAUCUAAUUCUAGAGCUAGCUAGAUCUAUUACGCUUUGAUAAUUUUUUUUAUUAAGCUUCUGUUGCGGACUAUUAUAUCAUUGCGUGGCAUAUUUAUCGCCACCAUGCCUUCUAAACCAGAAGACAUAAUGAAAGGUUUCAAACUUAACUGGAUGAACUUGCGAGAUGCAGACACCGGCAAGGUACUCUGGCAGUCAAGUGAUGAUCUAUCAGUCCCAGAAAAAGAACAUGAAGGUA
rnacentral:sRNA from 1 species